GGUACGGUGGAAACUACUGGAAACUACUGUCUCAGUUGCUAAGGAGCUCAGCAGCAAACAAGCUAGCAUUCCAUUCUGAACGUUAGAUUAAGGCUUUACCAAGGCAACCAACACCACAAGUAAUGUGUAGGAAGUUAGCGUUAGCGUAACAACGGCAAAUUGAGGGACGGUACAGUUCAUAGUUCAAUGAGUCGAGCGGCAGGUGCUCACAGAUCUCCGCUAUUUAAUGUAUCAAUUAUUGACGAAAGAACCUCUUUUCACGACAAGCGGCCAACGAGUUCUCACGGCGUUAACAAGGCAUGAGUGGCGGGACCAAAGGUGGAAGCAACAACAAUAAACGCCCGUUCCAAAGAACCGACCUGUGUCUGUGUCGUCGUGGAGAGAGCUACAGUGAGAACUCGACUGCUCAUCACGGGUAGGAGAGAAGACAUCACGGCAGCGGUAACGGCGCAGCGGAGAUCCAGCACAACGGGAGAGAAAGCCCAUAAGCCGUGGUAGGCUACGGACCGCUAGCAACGGUGACUAGACUGUGUUGAAAGUGCGACUUUUCAAGCCAAAGCCAAGAAGUGCUCUACCUUCAAGUUAAAGUGUUCUCACGGCGUUAACAAGGCAUGAGUGGCGGGACCAAAGGUGGAAGCAACAACAAUAAACGCCCGUUCCAAAGAACCGACCUGUGUCUGUGUCGUCGUGGAGAGAGCUACAUUCAAGAUGAACAUGCAAGCUGCUUUAUUUAGUCUGGUUUUACAAAUGCCAACUGGUUGGAGAAGUUGCCGGACUCCCAAGACCUCACCAUGUCACCUGGUCGGUUCUGGACCGAGUGAGGACUACUUUGGAAGAUUCAUCCUUAUUUGAUGGUGUAAGUCGCCAGGACUUCUACAUACUUAUCAUAAGGAAGUGUCACAAGGACAGUCAAAGACAUUGAAGAACUACAGACUGAAUUGAAAUGAAUCACUAUACAGAUUAACGACAAAAAAAAAAAAAACUCAUUUGAUUUAAAAGUCCCAUUUUUUUAUUUUCAAUUCAUGUUUAUUCAAAUGCUUGUAACUAAUUACCUGCCUUUAAUUUACUAAACAUUAAAUGUUGAAACUUA